GAUGAACGCUGGCGGCGUGCCUAAUACAUGCAAGUCGAGCGAACGGACGAGAAGCUUGCUUCUCUGAUGUUAGCGGCGGACGGGUGAGUAACACGUGGAUAACCUACCUAUAAGACUGGGAUAACUUCGGGAAACCGGAGCUAAUACCGGAUAAUAUUUUGAACCGCAUGGUUCAAUAGUGAAAGACGGUCUUGCUGUCACUUAUAGAUAGAUCCGCGCUGCAUUAGCUAGUUGGUAAGGUAACGGCUUACCAAGGCAACGAUGCAUAGCCGACCUGAGAGGGUGAUCGGCCACACUGGAACUGAGACACGGUCCAGACUCCUACGGGAGGCAGCAGUAGGGAAUCUUCCGCAAUGCGCGAAAGCCUGACGGAGCAACGCCGCGUGAGUGAUGAAGGUCUUCGGAUCGUAAAACUCUGUUAUUAGGGAAGAACAUAUGUGUAAGUAACUGUGCACAUCAUGACGGUACCUGAUCAGAAAGCCACGGCUAACUACGUG
rnacentral:rRNA from 1 species